CCGCCAUGAUUGUGAGGCUUCCCCAGCCAUGUGGAAACAUAUUCGCAGAGCACCCACUAGGUGCCAGUAAAUGUAUGAGAAGUCCUGUGGAAUAAGACUGAAGUUGUCCUUGCCUUCAAGCAACUUGCAAUUGCCUAAGAACACAGUUUAAAACCACAAAACUAAGCCUUGGAAAUCACAUGCUGUCAUUUCUGCGAUCGGUCAUAACCAGUCCUGAUUCCAUGUUAGAGGAGACUACAUAAGGACACAGGUACCAGAAGAAACUUCUAAGUGCUGCUGUAUUUCACCAAGCUCCAGUUGAUAUCCAAAUUGGACAACUCCUGUGUGCCAGGACAAUUAAAAGGUAAAGUUGAAAAAUGAUUUGAACAACAAAGGCAAAUUAAAAGCCCUCCCUGGAGCAAAGAUUGAAUCAAGAGUAUGGCUGUUAUGCUUCUGUUAAAACCUCUGAAUCAGUUAAGAGAAACGUAUGUCUCAACAGGGCCUGAUUAUUCACCUGGGCAACAGAAUCCAAGAACAUAGGCCACAGAGGCACAGUAGCUGACCCACAGCCUCUAACGUGUAAACUUCCUAUGUAAGCUGUCUCAUUUUCUCCGAAGCCAUGUGCUUGUUUUGCAGUAUCAUGUGGAAGAAAUAUUUGAAGGAUUUAGACUAAUUUUAAAUCCUGCUUCUGCUGCUUGCCAGGAGCAUGUCAACAGGGCCACCAAGAUGACACUGAGGCCCCUACCCAGCAUCCCAAAGGCAGUAUCACAGCAAAAGCUUUAAAAAAUAAAUUUAUAUUUCCUUCAUCACAAAUGUUAUGAAUACCAAUUAUAGAAAAUGUAGAAAUCCAAUAAAUUAGAAAGAAGAGAGAAAAAAUUACCCAAAGCCUACCACUCAGAAGUUACAGAGGACCUACAAUGAGCCAGUUAAUAUGGACAUGAGCAAAGAAGAGAUAUGCUCCUAUGACCAGAGUUUCUAAAAGAAGAGAUGACUAAGGAAGAAAUGACAGCAAGCUUGAAAAUGUAAUCUGGAAAUAUGACCUCAGGUGCUACAGAAACCACUGUGGCUGCAAAAGGAGCCCUCUCAUGAAUCCAGAUUGUCAAAAUUAUGUGCAAAAUAUUGAAGGAGAGACACAUAGAAAAAGACUACAAAAGAAUAACAUGAAGCUAAGAAAAACAGAGCCAGAAAAUCUAAACCCUUUGCAGUAACAGAGCAGGCAUUAUAGUUUUUAUUCACAGAUGGGUAAACUGAAACUAAGAAAGAUUAAGGAACUUGAUUGUAUCUCAUACCUAGUUAAAUGGUACUGAGGCCUGCUCUUUCAUUCCUUCCACUACCCUGCUGCCCAAAGCUAACGUUUCUGUUCUCUGUGGUGCAAACCUAAAGGAGUCACAUGUUUCCCUGGAGAAAAUAAACCAAAAAUUCCAACCUUUCUUCAUGUUCAUAUAGACCGCCUAUACACAAAGGAAAAGGAAAUAUUUAUUAGUCUUCAAAAUAUUCUUUUUGCUGAGAGUUGGAAUAAGAUAAUCCCUGAGAAGGAAGGGAUAUCAAUAUACUUUUUCCUGACAUCAAAAAAUUAGGAUAUGUCACAAUGUUUAAUUUUUUUCUAGGUCAGUUUUUAUAAUCUUUCAUAUGUUUUGAAUUACUGUAGUCAGCUGCCUGAUUUUAAAAGCUUGUUUGAA
rnacentral:lncRNA from 1 species